rnacentral:lncRNA from 1 species
ACUCUGAAGAGUUGGAUGAUGUCUUGGAAGAAAAUUGAGUUUCUGAUGUUGAACCACCUGCCUAAACCUCAUUCUAGACAUAUGUACCCCCAAUAUAAAGGUUUCAAGAACUCUGCAAAAAUAUGUCACCACUGAGGUAAAUAUGGUCACAUAAGACCCUUUUGCUAUAGUCUGGUUAGUUAUUCUAAGUUUUAUAGUCAGCUCGGCCCUAAAAGGAAAAA